rnacentral:rRNA from 1 species
AUGGGGCGCAGCAGGCGCGAAAACUUUACACUGCACGACAGUGCGAUAAGGGAACUCCAAGUGCGAGGGCAUAUAGUCCUCGCUUUUGUGUAUCGUAAGGUGGUACACGAAUAAGAGCUGGGCAAGACCGGUGCCAGCCGCCGCGGUAAUACCGGCAGCUCAAGUGAUGACCGAUUUUAUUGGGCCUAAAGCGUCCGUAGCCGGCCACGAAGGUCCAUCGGGAAAUCCGCCAGCUCAACUGGCGGGCGUCCGGUGGAAACCACGUGGCAUGGGAUCGGAAGGCUCGAGGGGUACGUCCGGGGUAGGAGUGAAAUCCUGUAAUCCUGGACGGACCACCGAUGGCGAAAGCACCUCGAGAAGACGAAUCCGACGGUGAGGGACGAAAGCUAGGGUCUCGAACCGGAUUAGAUACCCGGGUAGUCCUAGCUGUAAACGAUGCUCGCUAAGUGUGGCACACGCUACGAGCGUGUGCUUCGCUGCAGCGAAGGCGUAAGCGAGCCGCCUGGGAAGUACGUCCGCAAGGAUGAAACUUAAAGGAA